AAAAAAAGAAACUCUAGGUUUCCGUGUCCACCGUUUGACUGUCCAUUUUAUAAGAAUUUUUUUUUAUAAUUAGUAUUUUCAUUGUUGUUAAAUGAUAAAACAUGAUUAAUACUUUAUGUGUGACUUAUCUUUUUAAUUUUUUUUCAUAUUUUUUUAAAUAAGACAAAUGGUCAAACGUUGGACAUUGAAACAUAGUGUUUGUCUUCUU
rfam:Oryza sativa Japonica Group DNA, chromosome 1, cultivar: Nipponbare, complete sequence.